rnacentral:misc_RNA from 1 species
UCCCAUUUGAUUUGUAUUGUGCCCAGCUUUAUGGCUUCCAAUUCCACCUGGUCAGGUUAUCAGGAAAUGGCCUAAUGCCUUAGAACAACAAACAAAACUAAACCAAAUGCAUCAAUUCGAUUUAGAAUUUUGGUUUAAACAGAAACUACUCAAAAUGGUAGUGCAGAUCAACUCACUUCUCAAGGCGAAAGGCUCAAAAUAAAUUAGUUGAUGAUCAAAGAAGAAUGCCUUCUUAUUCAUGUUAAAUACCUGCUAACAUACUCUGUUAUUGAUGGCUUGGUAGCGUGGCUUCAUAUACAUUCCAAAUGUUCAAUUUUUCUCUAUUGCUGAAAGGGAGGGAGAAAAGGAGAGGAGAAAAAAGGUUGAAAAAAAAUGGCUGUCUGUCUCUGUACAGCGUAAGAAAAAUGACUGGAAAUUGGCACUUUCUUAAUUCCUUUCCCCACACCAUUAUUUGAUACAGUAUGACACUGCCUCCGAGAUCAGCUAUUCUUGUAUAGGUUAUAACCAGAAAUGAGCGAGCUAACAGCAAAGGCAAUAAAAGCUAGGAAGGCCAUCGCAACUGAAGCACUAGCCAUCUCUGUAAACUCAUCUUUGCCCCAAUUAGAUUGCCAGUCAUCGACCCGGGUGGCUGCUGAUGAAGCAGCUGAUAUCAGAAGAUAUGCCAAUAUCUGCCAGUUGAACCAACAAUGCAAGUCUUCCUUUUAGGUACACAAAAAUGUACAAUCAUUUAUUGUGCAUACAAUUACACUAGUUUUGUUUUAAAUGGAAAAUUCAUCCCAUAAACCCCAAAGACACCCUUCUACUGCAGUACUCAUCUGUGAAAUUGGUCAGAGGACAAGUAAAAUGGACCUCCUGUCAACUAUAAAAUGUGGAAACAUUAUUGCCAAAUUGGAAACCAGGAAAAAUGGACAUGAAUUCAAAUAGGUAAAGUUCCAGACUUGAUCAUCCACCCAAAACCUUCGUUGAGAAAAAGUAUAAAAUGAUUCACAAUUUAGACCUACAAGUUUCAAUUGAAAGUUCAAGACAUUUACCACUCUGCACCACAUAGAAACCAUUGUUCAAGUUCUACCAGCCAAAUUAUUGGCACUUCUACCAGCAAUUCAAAAAGUUAUACAAUAGGAAAAUUAUCAGCCAUGAGAUGACAGGUUAUUGCCCAAACCCAGAAGUAAGCAAGUGCAUGUUCUUCCAUCUAGAUAACAUUAAGCUAAUACAAAAAGCAACACAUUUCUUAUCCAAUUACCUCUGGCAAGGACCCUACCACUGAACAAGUUAAACACACAUUUCAUGUAAGACUCUAAAUCACAAGUUGCAGGCCUGACUGAUAAAUCAUUAAACUGAAAUAUCAGUUUCCUAGGCCACUGAUAUAUUUCUGCAAAAAGAUUGAUUCUCUGCAGCCUCUGGCAACAUAAUGAGAAAUGACAUGAACUGAAUAGAACAUCCCCAGACCCCAGCGGACAUGACUAACAUGGAAUGCAAGAAAACUGAAGUCAAACAAAUAGCGAGUUUAGGUAAGUUGCCUGAUCCAUAAAGAAAUUAAAAUUACGGCGUAGGUGGUGGCGGAUCACAUGUUUGCCUGUGACCAGAUGGUAGCCCAGAUCAUAAGCUUGGAAUCCUGAAUAUACAAAUGCAAUAACAUUCACAGAAAGGCAAUACCUGUAUUCUCCGUAUCGAUCAUAGGAAUCGCCACUCCACCCCUGAGUCUUGUCAGCGGUCAUAACCGAGAACGAAAUCAAGCACAAGACGACCUCACUAAUUCUGAACCCUAACUCAGUGACCUUCAUCAUAUCCUCCCUCCUUGAUCUCCACGACCCCACCACUGCCGAUCUCCCAUCAGGCUUCACCUUUCCCACGACCGGCGGCCCCUCCUCUCUCCUGUUAAACAUCAUUGCUGGAUUCUGAGUCUGUGGCUGAGCCUUAGCCUGAGGAUACGCAGCAUUCUCCUGCGAAAGAGGGGACGGCUGCGGACUGCACUGAGUGAACUUAUCGACAGCGACGAUCGCUAUGGAGUUCUCGACCUGUGGAUACGUUCCCGGCGAGUUAACCGGGGAGACAAAGGAGUGGGGGGAUUCGAAGUGAGAGUACGAAUCGGAGUUGGAAGAGGGUGAUCGUUUCAUAUUGCUUGGAAUUUGAAUUUUGGGUUUGGAAUCGGUUUCCAUGAAUUUGAUUUCGCGGAAUUUUCUGUUUGGGAAGUUGGGCGAGCAUGAAAAAGAGAAAGCAGUAGGAGGCUGACUUUAACUUCAUGUUUGAAUUACUAGCGGGGACGAUCACCACGUGGCAUAGUGAAGUGUAGGGUUACGUUCUCCUGUACAAAGUUAUACCUUCAUUUAACAUGAACAGCACCUUUAACUGGCCAAUAGGACAAAAAUAUCUCUUUUUUAUAACGUGGCAGUAAAUUAUUGGCUAAAAGAGAAUGGAGACGCAAUUGUAUCCGCUUAAGAUUUUUGCUCUUACUUAAGAGAAUGAGAUUGGAUGCUACGCGGGAGAAAGAAAUCUUACAUUUCACAUUUCUUCCUUUCAUUUUUUUUAUUUUUUUUAAAGAGAGAGUCAUUUUCAUUCAGACUAUCAAAAAGAACACUGAGAAGAAAAAUAAGGCAUAUUCAAAUCUCCAAAUAAAGUAACUUUUAGAACACAAAUUAGAUCAAACAUGUUGAGACUUGAAAUUCAAUGGAUGGAGACUAAGGUGAAAUCCAAUGGGCAGUGGAGCGUUAGUCUAAACACCGAUUAGCACAGAGUUAAUUUGGAUGCCGAAAAGAAGAGAGAAGAGAAGAAUAAGAAAUGAGGAGGGAAAGAGUUAUUGUCAUGGGUGAGAAUA